AAGGGGUUAGUCUAAUUAAGACUACUAAUUUCGACUUAGAAAAUUCUGACUACAUCAGAACCCCUAA
rnacentral:tRNA from 1 species